UACGUAGGGGGCGAGCGUUGUCCGGAGUUACUGGGCGUAAAGCGCACGCAGGCGGCCUGUUAAGUUUGGAGUGACAGUUGGUGGCUUAACUGCCAAAGUGCUUCGAAAACUGACAGACUUGAGGGCUUCAGAGGGACACGGAAUUCCGGGUGGAGUGGUGAAAUGCGUAGAGAUCCGGAGGAACACCAAAGGCGAAGGCAGUGUCCUGGGGAGUACCUGACGCUCAGGUGCGA
rnacentral:rRNA from 1 species